AGAGUUUGAUCAUGGCUCAGAACGAACGCUGGCGGCAUGCUUAAUACAUGCAAGUCGAACGAGUAAGAGCCGUAGCAAUACGGAGUUCUGCUAGUGGCAAACGGGUGAGUAACGCGUGGGAACUUACCUCAUAGUACGGAAUAACUACGGGAAACUGUGGCUAAUACCGUAUAUUCCCUUCGGGGGAAAGAUUUAUCGCUAUGAGAGAGACCCGCGUCAGAUUAGCCAGUUGGUAGGGUAAUGGCCUACCAAGGCAACGAUCUGUAGCUGGUCUGAGAGGAUGAUCAGCCACACUGGAACUGCGACACGGUCCAGACUCCUACGGGAGGCAGCAGUAGGGAAUAUUGGACAAUGGGCGAAAGCCUGAUCCAGCAAUGCCGCGUGAGUGAUGAAGGCCUUCGGGUUGUAAAGCUCUUUUAGCAGGGAAGAUAAUGACGGUACCUGCAGAAAAAGCCCCGGCUAACUUCGUGCCAGCAGCCGCGGUAAUACGAAGGGGGCGAGCGUUGUUCGGAAUUACUGGGCGUAAAGCGCGCGUAGGCGGUUUGUCAAGUCAGGAGUGAAAUCCCAGGGCUUAACCUUGGAAUUGCUUUUGAAACUGACAGACUAGAGAUCGGUAGGGGAUAGUAGAAUUCUUGGUGUAGAGGUGAAAUUCGUAGAUAUCAAGAGGAAUACCAGUGGCGAAGGCGGCUAUCUGGACCGAUUCUGACGCUGAGGCGCGAAAGCGUGGGGAGCAAACAGGAUUAGAUACCCUAGUAGUCC
rnacentral:rRNA from 1 species